rnacentral:lncRNA from 1 species
UCCGGUGAUUGUCCGGCAACCAUGCUCAAUCCCCAACGAUCCCCAACUGGAUUUAGGUCCCAAGGUAUGAGGAUUUGUACCCUUCAUAUUCUCUGCUUUGCCCCGUUCUCCUCUGUCCCAGUCGCUCAUCUAGUGGUUCCCUCUUCUCUAUAUUGGGCUAGAUUUGCAAAGCAAACAGAGGAGGCAACUAGCUCGUGGCUCAUUGGGUUGUCUCCUCCAAGUUCAGCACAUCCUAGGAAAUAGGAGAGGGGACGAGGUAGUGGCAUCUUGCCAGCAGUUGUUUAUUUUCCUAGAGGUUACUGUCCAGAUUUUUGUCUUGAAGAAAUUGGCGAGGUAUAAUUUACUUGCUCUUAAUCAAGUAUUGCAUACAUCUAUGCCUAUACGUGUGUCGCUGCCUAGCCUGUGUGCUGUGUGCGACCAUAAUCUAAUAAAAAGUGUUAACUGUAUAAACAGCUCCUGCUACUGUCUAGAUGGAAUUUAGAUAAUGACAAGUACGUAAACUGAAAAUCAUGUCUAGAUGAAAGUUACCAAAGAGAAAGCUUGAGCUGUGUGUAAGGCUUGUACAGGUUAAUUUAUGUGUUUGUGGUACUGCUAGUAGUGUGAUUGACAGUGAGAAAACAAUCCUAGACUAUUUGUACUAGUAUGUGGGUGCAUCCCUGCGAAGUUCAAUUUAGCAAAGCAUGCACAUGAACUGUAAGAAGAAAUACAGAUGGUCUCUUCAAAAGUCUGAAAACUCAACCGUCCUGUAUUAUUUGUACAGACAGAUGUAAAUGGGAAUGCUUAGAAUUAGUAUCUUGCUUGCUAGAUGGUUCUGGAAACCAAUAGUACGUCCACAGGCUAUAGAUGGUACUGUGGAUGUGUGUGCGCCGUUGCUACUUGUGAUUUUUCAUAGAUUAGUAUUAAAAAGUUUGUUUAAAAAGAAUGGGUAUAAUUUCUUGUGAUUUUUCCUACUGCUUGACCAAUUUAACUUUUUUGUUUCAGGUGGUUGGUGUCCCUACAGACUUCUGCAAGUAAUUAGGACUAAUAGUAUUCCAUUGGUCUGUUCUUGUCUAGUGUAAUGGAGCUACUAGCUAUUGGCACCAGACUUCUGCAAGUUACUAGGACUAAUAGUAUUCCAUUGGUAUGCUCUUGUCUAUUGUAGUGGAGCUAUUAGCUAUUGGCGCCAGACUUCGGCAAGUUAUUAGCUAGUGUAUUGGAGCCAUGUGCUCAAUGACUAAUGUAUAAAGGUGUAUUUUUGCCAUCAAUGUUAAUGGUGCAUCUAUUUUGUAACUGUUUAUUGGAGAGAGGCAUUAUCUUAAGUGACAGAAUCAGAUUGAUGCCGCAUAAUCCCACUAUGUGCAGCUGUACUGUUUGCUUUACCUAAAUCUAUUCUAGG